GGGGGAAUAUUGGGGCAAUGGGGCGCAAGCCUGACCCAGCAACGCCGCGUGAGGGAAGAAGGUUUUCGGAUUGUAAACCUCUGUCGCAGAAGACGAAGGAAGUGACGGUAAUCUGUGAGGAAGCCCCGGCUAACUACGUGCCAGCAGCCGCGGUAAUACGUAGGGGGCGAGCGUUGUCCGGAAUUACUGGGCGUAAAGGGAGCGUAGGCGGUUAAUUAAGUUAGAUGUGAAAUACCCGGGCUUAACUUGGGGGGUGCAUCUAAUACUGGUAAACUAGAGUACAGGAGAGGAAAGCGGAAUUCCUAGUGUAGCGGUGAAAUGCAUAGAUAUUAGGAGGAACAUCGGUGGCGAAGGCGGCUUUCUGGACUGACACUGACGCUGAGGCUCGAAAGCGUGGGGAGCAAACAGGAUUAGAUACCCUGGUAGU
rnacentral:rRNA from 1 species